rnacentral:rRNA from 1 species
CGGAACGAGUUAUCUGAACCUUCGGGGGAACGAUAACGGCGUCGAGCGGCGGACGGGUGAGUAAUGCCUAGGAAAUUGCCCUGAUGUGGGGGAUAACCAUUGGAAACGAUGGCUAAUACCGCAUGAUGCCUACGGGCCAAAGAGGGGGACCUUCGGGCCUCUCGCGUCAGGAUAUGCCUAGGUGGGAUUAGCUAGUUGGUGAGGUAAGGGCUCACCAAGGCGACGAUCCCUAGCUGGUCUGAGAGGAUGAUCAGCCACACUGGAACUGAGACACGGUCCAGACUCCUACGGGAGGCAGCAGUGGGGAAUAUUGCACAAUGGGCGCAAGCCUGAUGCAGCCAUGCCGCGUGUGUGAAGAAGGCCUUCGGGUUGUAAAGUACUUUCAGUCGUGAGGAAGGCGGUGUCGUUAAUAGCUGCGUUGUUUGACGUUAGCGACAGAAGAAGCACCGGCUAACUCCGUGCCAGCAGCCGCGUUAAU